rnacentral:lncRNA from 1 species
GUGGAUAACUCUUUGUCUAGAUGCUUAUCAAGCAUGUUGCAGUGACUUGAUCUCUAAGCCUUGUGGCCUCACCAAAUAGUUAUUGACAUAUUUUUUAGUUAAGUCUGACCCACCAUUCACCAGUGAGUACAAAGCCAUCAUGGGAUCCCUCACCUAACAGUUAUUGGGCCCAACCCCAUCAUUACCUCAAGACAUCUGAUGCCAAUAGAGUGGUUGUGCCUUUUCGAUGCAAUUGAACCACUAUAACCAAC